rnacentral:rRNA from 1 species
CUUGGUCAUUUAGAGGAAGUAAAAGUCGUAACAAGGUUUCCGUAGGUGAACCUGCGGAAGGAUCAUUAUUGAAUGAACUUGGUGUGGUUGUCGCUGGCCCUCUUGGGGGCAUGUGCACACCUACCAUCCUCAUCUCUCCACCUGUGCACCUCUUGUAGAUUUGGAAUUGAUUAUCCGAGGCAACUCGGUCGUGAGGACUGCUAGCACUUAGCCAGCUUUCUUUGCAAUUCCAGGUCUAUGUUUUUCAUAUACCCCAUUGUAUGUAACAGAAUGUAUCAUUGGGCCCUUGUGCCUAUAAACCUUAUACAACUUUCAGCAACGGAUCUCUUGGCUCUCGCAUCGAUGAAGAACGCAGCGAAAUGCGAUAAGUAAUGUGAAUUGCAGAAUUCAGUGAAUCAUCGAAUCUUUGAACGCACCUUGCACUCUUUGGUAUUCCGAAGAGUAUGCUUGUUUGAGUAUCAUUAAAUUCUCAAACCACUACUUGGUUUUAUAUCAAGUCAGUGGCUUUGGAUGUGGAGGUUGCAGGCUUCUUGUAAAGUCUGCUCUUCUUAAAAGCAUUAGUGGUUAUUGAUUCCACUUCUUGGUGUGAUAAUAUCUACGCCUUGUAAGAACGGAUCUAAUGUAGCUGCUCUCAAACCGUCUUUAUUGACAAUUUGAACCAUUUGAUCUCAAAUCAAGUAGGACUACCCGCUGAACUUAAGCAUAUCAAUAAGCGGAGGAAAAGAAACUAACAAGGAUUCCCCUAGUAACUGCGAGUGAAGCGGGAAACGCUCAAAUUUAAAAUCUGGCAGUUUCACUGUCCGAGUGUAAUUUAGAGAAGUGUAUCCGUGCUGGACCGUGUACAGUCUCCAAU